CAAAGUAGAGCUUUGUAGUAAAGUACUCCGUUUACAUUGGAGGGAAUUCUGUGCAAUUCAGGAUAUUUUGA
rnacentral:tRNA from 1 species